AGCUAUCAAUUUUUCAACAAAUUUAGAAUCAAAUAUGAUUUAUUAGUGGUUUAGCAUUUAAAUAUUAUAUAAAACUGACGAAGCGUGUGUAUUAAUGAUUGUGUUGUUUAAGGAGCAAAAACGAAAGUAGGAGAGACGUAGCGAGAAAGCUAGAGAGAGAGAGAGAAAGAGAGAACGCGAAAAAGUAGAAGGGAGCGUUUCUCCCCUACACUUUGUAAUUAUUGUAUACCAGACCAGACCAACAGGAACAACAAACAAAAUUAAGAACAACAAACAAACAACAAUGUGUGCGGCCGCCAGAGGUCGCUUUUAACAGACUUUCCAAAGAUGACAAAUACCUCAAACGCGAAGGCAGCAGCAACAACAACAACAACAACAGCAACAAUUAGAAAUGAAGACAGCAACAAUCAGAUAAAAACCUUAAACUAAAUAACAAAGAAAC